CUCUCUUUCUGUCAAAUAAAUCAAUAAAAUCUUAAAAAAGAAAAAAAAAACCUGGCUGAAAGGUAAGAUAAAUUAUGCUUGUUAGUGGCUGGUGAUGAGGAGUGAGGGGGAAGGAGGAAAACAAGGAGCCUAAGAGACUACCUGGAUGAUUGACGGCAGCACCUUCCACCAUGGAGUACACAGAGGGAGGAGAGGUUUGGGGAGGAUGGGGAGCAGGAUCUUCAUUUGUGAAAAUGGCAGGUACAAGAAGCAGUUGGAGCUUCCUAGUGGAAAGCUGGAAAUGUGGGUACAAAGUUCAGGAGCAACCAUAGGAAUGGAAAUCUCGUUGCAGAGUCAACAGCAGAGACUUGUCAUGGAAUCGACAGGCAUAUCCAGGAAGAGCCUGUGAGAUGGGAAGACAAGAGGUUGGAGCCUGGGGGACACUGGGCCCAAAGAAAACGGAUAAAUGGAUCCAAAAUUGAGUCUUUGAUGACUGGCUGUGCCAUUAAGUCAAAGGAGGAAAGAGAUUGUAUCUGAUGAUGACAAUAUCCUGAAAACCAAGAGGGCUGAAGGCCAUUAGCUGGGGAGACCAAAGGCCAGAUGCCUUGGGCAACAAUUUGCUCAGCAUAUCUCUUCCUAAAUUCCAAGACAGGCUGCUUGCUCUGCUCGGUCAAGACUGCCAACCCAAGAAACAUUUUCGAAAGAUCACAGUCAACAUCAUUGCCAAAAGAAGAAGUUCUUGGCACACAAAAGACCUGGUUCAAUAUGAGAUGCCAGAUGGUGAUUUCAACUUCAGCUAAAUUCCUGCUGAAAAAAGUGUUUGAACUGCAGAUGAGAAAAGCUUCUAUGACAAAUUUCCAAGCGUUAGAAGCUUCAGAGGGAGAUGGCAAGUGUUGAUACACCCCCCCACCCAAGCACAUGCACACACCACAGACUUACUACCUGCAGCUGGUAAUUAAGAUUCCCACAAAGAUGCCUCUGCUUUUUAAGAAGACUGAGCCCUGACUUGAUUUUUACGAAUAUCAAAGUGUAUUUACUGAGCCCAUUGAAAGUAAAUCCUAGUUGAUUACA